rnacentral:rRNA from 1 species
UACGAAGGGGGCUAGCGUUGUUCGGAAUUACUGGGCGUAAAGCGCGAGCGUAGGCGGUGAUCCAUGUCAGAGGUGAAAGCCCGGGGCUCAACUCCGGAAUUGCCUUUGAUACUGAGGAUCUUGAGUUCGGGAGAGGUGAGUGGGAACUGCGAGUGUAGAGGUGAAAUUCGUAGAUAUUCGCAAGAACACCAGUGGCGAAGGGCGGCUCACUGGCCCGAUACUGACGCUGAGG